rnacentral:RNase_P_RNA from 2 species
AAAGCCGGUCAGACAACCGCCGCCAUGAAAGCACCCUCGGGGGCAUGAAUGGGGGAGGAAAGUCCGGGCUCCAUAGAGCAGGAUGCUGGCUAACGGCCAGACGCAGCAACUGCCAUGUUGCAAGACAUGGCGGCCAAGGCGAGGAAUAGGGCCACAGAGACGAGCGUAUUGAGUUACGGUGAAACGCGGUAACCUCCAUCCGGAGCAACACCAAAUAGGCAGGCGAUGAAGCGGCUCGCUGAGUCUGCGGGUAGGUGGCUGGAGCCGGUCAGCAAUGACCGGCCUAGAGGAAUGGUUGUCCACGACAGAACCCGGCUUAUCGACCGACUUUUCCA